rnacentral:rRNA from 1 species
CGUUCCCAGGCCUUGUACACACCGCCCGUCACAUCAUGAAAGCCGCUUGUACCCGAAGUCGCCCCUCAAAAGGUGCCGAAGGUAUGGGUGGUGAUUGGGAUG